rnacentral:misc_RNA from 1 species
GUAGGUGAACCUGCGGAAGGAUCAUUACAAAUCCACGUCUCUCACCGAGACAAGUCGAAACGUGUUGAGAGGUGGUCUCUACUUGUGCGCAUUCCCUUGGGAUACACACUCGUGUCUCGACCUCUUGACUCACUUUAACUACUUUGUUGUUCAGUCGUAUAAAUUAACAUUAUACACAACUUAUAACAAUGGAUCUCUAGGCUCUUGCAUCGAUGAAGAACGCAGCAUCUGACUGACUUGGGAUGCAUGC